ensembl:misc_RNA Y_RNA Y RNA
GGUUGGUGUGAAGGUAGUGACUGUUCUCAUUUUGUACUUCUUGUUCUCUUUCCCCUCUUCUCACAGCUGCACUUGACUCAUCUUUA